rnacentral:lncRNA from 1 species
UAUGCAUCUUUCUGGAUCGGAGUUAUCUCACUCAUGAUGCUUUCUUUCAAGUUCUGUAAGUCUGAGAUUUUUAUGAUGUCAUUUUUUAACAGCUAAGUAAUACUUUAGUGUGAAAAUAUUCCACAUUUUCUUUAUCCGUUCUUCUCUUGAAAAACAUCUAGGUUGUUUCCAAUUUCUCGAUAUUAUGAAUUAAACCUCAAAUAAAUAUGGCUGAGAAAGUGUCCUUGUGGUAGGAUGAAGUAUCCCCUGGGUUUAUGCCAAAUAGUGAUAUAGCUGGGUUUUGAAACCACUAUAUUGUUUUCCAUAGUGGUUGUACAAGUUGUACUUUCACCAGCAACAGAGGCACGUUCUCCUUGCUCCACAUCCUCCCUGAUAUGAGCUGUCAAUUUUUCUAUUGAUCUUAGCCAAUGAAUGAAUCUCAAAGCAGUUUUGGUUUGCAUUCCCCUGAUUGCUAAGGACUUUGAAUAUAUCUUUAAGUGUUUCUCAGCCAUUUAAUAUUACUUCAUUUGAGAACUCUAUUUAGAUCUGUUCCCAACUUUAAUUGUAAUAUUUCGGCUUUUUUUAUACCUAGUAUCUUGAAUUCAUUAUCUAUUUUGGAUAUUAGUCUUCAGAUGUGGAGUUGGUAAAACCCUUUUCUCAUUCUGUAGGCUACAUCUUCUUGUCUGAUUGAUGGUACCCUUUACUUUACAGAAGCUUUCCCAAUUAUUAAUUCUUGAUCUUAUGGCCUGAGCUAUUGGUAUUCUGUGUAGCAAGCUGUCUCCUGUGCUAAUGCAUUCAAGAUUAUUUCCCACUUUCUCUUCUAUUAAGCUCAGUAUGUCUGGCUUUAUGUUAAGGGGUUUUGGUCCAUUUGGACAUGUGUUUCCUGCAGACUGAUAAAUAUGAAUCUAUUUGCAUUUGUCUAGAUGGAAAUAUACAGGUUUGACUAGAACCAUUUGUUGAAGACUCUUUUUUUCCAUGUUCAUUUCAGCUUCUUUAUUUAAAAUCAGGUGUCCAUAUGUGUUUGGAUUUUUGUCUGGUCUUCAAUUUAAUUUCCUUGAUCCACAUGACUGUUUCUGUACCAAUACCAUGCAGUUUUUAUUUCUAUUGCUCUGUAGUACUGUUUGAAAGUAGGAAUGGUGUGACAUCUAACAAUUCGUUCAUUGUUCAGGAUUAUUUUAGCUAUCCUUGUUUUUGUUUUGUUUAGUUUUUUAAUAUGAAGUUGAGGAUUGUCCUUUUAAGGAUUGUAAAAAAUUGUGUUAAAAUUUUAAUGGAGAUUGCAUUGAAUAUGUAGAUUACUUUCAGUGGGAUGGCCAGAUUUACUAUGUUAAUUCUAUUGAUCCAUGAAUAUGGGAGAUCAUUUAACUUCCAAUUUAAUUUCUUUCUUCAAAGUCUUGAAGUUUUUAAUCAUACAAGUCUUUCACUUGCUUGGUUAGAGUUAUCCCCAAGGUACUUUAUAUUAUUUGAGGUUAUUGUGAAGGUGUUGUUUUCCUGAUUUCUUUCUCAGUCUGUCAUUAGUAUUUCGGAGAACUACUAAUUUUUAUUUUUAGUUGAUCUGUAUCCAGCCACUUUGCUGACAUUAUCAUUUGAAGGAGUUCCCUGGUGGAACUUACAGGUCAUUUAUAUAUAAAUAUAUAUAAAUAUAUAUAUAUAUUUUCAUCUCCGAAUAGUGACACUCUAAAUUCCUUCCAAUUUGUAGCCUCUUGAUCUUCUUCGGUUGUCUUACCGUUCUAGCUGGAACUUCAAGCACUGUAUUGAAUAGAUACAUAGAAUAUAGACAACCUUGACUUGUCCCUAAGGUUUGUAGAAUUAUUUUAGUUUCUCUUCAUUUAAUUUGGUGUUGACUCUAGGCUUGCUAUAAAUUAUUUUUAAUAUGUUCCUUGAAUAUCCCCAAUAAUUUUAUCCUGAAGGGUGAUGGAUUUUAUCAAAGGCUUUUUACUUUAUCUAAUGAGAUUACCAUGUGGUUUUGAUUUUUAAUUUUUGUUUAUAUUGCAUAUUGCAUUUACUGAUUUUCUCAUUGUGAACUAUCCCCAAAUCUCUGCAAUGAAGUCUACUUGAUGGUAGUGGAUGGUCUUUCUGAUGUAUUCUUGUUUUCUCUUUAUUGACUAUGUUUUGCAUCAAUGUUCACAAGGAAAAUGGAUCUGUAAUUCUUUUUCUUUGUGGAUUCUUUAUGUGGUUUGGGUAUCAAGGUAACUAUGGCCUCAUAAAAUGAAUAGGGCAAUGUUCCUUCCGUUUCUAUCCUGUGGAAUAUUUUGAGAAGUAUUGGCAUGAAUUGAAAGUCUGGUUUAACUAAAACUAUCUGAUUCUGGGCUUUAAGUCCUUUAUUAUAGCUGAUGCUAAGAGUUCUAUGGGAAUUUCCUUAGCUAGCUCUGUUAGAAUUCUCCAUCUUAUGACCUCUUACAGUCAUCUGCUCAAUACAAAAGAACAUUUGUGAGACCAGCUGUAAGUAAGAACUCUUUAGGAAAUUGAGGCCAAUUAUUUUAUUUUG